GGCCGCCUGGCGAAAUGGCAUCGCGUCUGACUACGAUUAUGUAAUCCAUUAAUCAGGAGAUUGCAGGUUCGACCCCUGCGGUGGUCA
rfam:Gymnopus luxurians FD-317 M1 unplaced genomic scaffold GYMLTscaffold_4, whole genome shotgun sequence.